rnacentral:lncRNA from 15 species
GACGUGGCAUAUUUGCCCUAUCUUCAUUCUCCAAAGGAGAUUUUGUACUGGAAUACAGAGGAGACAUGAUAGAUGAUGCAGAAUCCCAAAGGAGAAGACGCAUUUACCACCCAUCAUGUGUUGCAUUCAUGUUCUCAUUCAAGUGGAGAGGGAGAACAUGGUGGUAAGAUUUUAAAUUACACCUAAACUAUACUCCUUAUGCUAAACCAUAAUAAUCUCCUUACACUUUGCUCAUAGUUAAAAUGAAGGCACUGAUUUUGUUGUAUACAUUGUGUGACACAUAGUAUGUAGGGUCUGUCAUCCUGCGAUGUAAUUGAACUGUACAAAGGUUUGACAUAUAUCUUGAGUAAGAAUAACUGAAAGAGAUGAUUGUGUAAUAUUGUUUUCCCCUUUUUCUUGUUGUCCUGAAGUAUUGAUGCUUCGCAAGAAGAUGGAUCAUUUGGACGGCUUGUCAAUGAUGAGCACAUACGUCCGAACUGUAGGAUGAAAAGGAUUGACGUGGAUAGGAAACCACACUUAUGUUUGUUUGCCUUAAAUGAUAUCCAACAUGGAGAGGAAAUUACAUAUGACUACGGAGGUGAAGACUGCCCACAGAGAAUGCAAAUGACCAUGAAUGCAGCUGAUGUCAUCAUUCCUGUGGACAGCUCCCACCCUGCUGACUUGUUAGAGACUCGGAUGGAUGAAACUGCCCAAGACACUAAUCAACAGAUGACCAUGAAUGCGGCUGAUGGUGUCAUUUCUGGGGAAAGCUCCCACUCUGCUGUCUUGUUAGGACCACACAUGGACGAAACUGCCCAAGACACUAAUCAACAGAUGACCAUGAAUGCGACUGAUGUCAUCAUUCUUGGGGAAAUCUACCACUCUGCUGUCUUGUUAGAGAUUCAGAGUGAUGACGUUUCGAGUCCACAAGACACUAAUCAACAGAUGACCAUGAAUGCAGCUGAUGUUGUCAUCCCUGAGGAAAGCUCCUACCCGGCUGUCUUUGUAGAGAUGCAGAUGGAUGAAGCUUUUGAUCCACCAGACUCUAAUCAGCAGAUGAAAGACACAGAUGUUGAAGAGUCAAAUGAUGAAUCUGACUCUGCAUCAGGGAGUAGUGAUGAGUACAUACCAGAUACCACUUCUGAAAGUGAAGAGAGUGAUGCGAGCCUGAAACCAAGGACCAAACCCUUUUCUCUUGAUGACGUAUUGAAUGACUCCGGUUCAAUGAGUCCCCCAGUCUGUGACACGACAACUUUAGACCAUGUGAUCUUUGACAGCAACACAACAACAUAUGAGGUCACUGAAGCAGACGGACCCUGCACAAGUCAAGACAUUACUGACAGCAUAGUUGUUCGUGCUUCCAAAAAAAGAAAUGGCAAUAGAGUGUACAACAAGAGACAUUAUUGCUUGUAUUGCAGGAAACCUUAUGCCAAGAUGGCAAGACAUCUAGAAAGUGCACACCAAGAUAAAUCAGAUGUGGCCAAAGCUCUUAGCUUUCCGAAAGGUUCCAAGGAAAGUAAAAAACAGCUGGAUUAUAUUCGCAACAGAGGCAACUAUGCUCACAAUGCUGCUGUUAUGGAGUCAGGGAAUGGAGAAUUGGUACCAUUUAAACAACCACCUAAAGAAGCAAAAGGAGGUGAUUUCAUGCACUGUGCAUACUGCCAAGGACUUUUUACAAGAAAGGUCCUGUGGCGACACAUGCGAAGUUGUAAACUCCAACCUGGAUCAGUUCGCCCCAGACCAGGAAAGAACCGUGUUCAGUCUUUGUGUACACUUACACCCAGGGCGGUGCCUUCACACAUAAGUAAACAAUUGUGGGGAGUUAUCAGUGCCAUGAAGCCUGAUCCAAUCACGGAUACAAUAAAAAAUAGACCACUGUCAUUACUUGAUGUUGGGCGNGCACCU